rnacentral:lncRNA from 1 species
AGAUUAUAUGCCAGUGGUAAUUUGUUUUAUGUGUCCCUCAGUUUGCAGCCCACUGGAUUUUGCCAAAAUGGUGAAAGUCAUGAAUACUCCCCAAGAGAAGAGGGAAGGGGAUCAAAGCAGAGCUGCAAAAAUCAAUACACUUUUGGACAAGAGGGUGGUAGUACUGCCUUCCCACCACUGGAUGAGGCUUCAGUGCAAGUAAAACUGAGAUGAUCUGGACAAGACAGGUGGGGUGAAGGUAUGUUUGUGGGUACUUUGUAAAUGUAACUAUGAACAAGUCACC